rnacentral:RNase_P_RNA from 2 species
CAGGUCGACCAGGCGGUCGCGUCAUGGGAAGCCAUGCCGAGGAACGUCCGGGCUCCGCAGAGCAGGACGGUGGGUAACGCCCACCCGGGGAAACCCGCGAGACAGUGCCACAGAAAGCAGACCGCCCCGCCGUGUCCUUCGGAUGCUGGGGUAAGGGUGAAAGGGUGGGGUAAGAGCCCACCGGGCGCCUGGUGACAGGCGCUGCAAGGUAAACCUCGUCCGGAGCAAGGCCAUACAGGGGAUGACGACGCUGCUCGCCGAGUCCCCGGGUAGGCCGCUAGAUGCACGCGGCAACGUGUGCGCGAGAGAGAUGGCCGCCCCCGAUCCAGAUCGGGACAGAACCCGGCGUAUCGGUCGGCCUGCUCA